rnacentral:rRNA from 1 species
AGAAUCAACGCUGGCGGCGUGCCUCAGACAUGCAAGUCGAACGCGAAAGUCCCCUUCGGGGGACAAGUAGAGUGGCGCACGGGUGAGUAACACGUAGGUAAUCUACCUUCGGAUGGGGAAUAACAACCGGAAACGGUUGCUAAUACCGCAUAAUGCAGCGGCACCUAAUGGUGACAGUUGUUAAAGCGGGGAUCGAAGACCUGCGUCUGAAGAGGACGCCUGGCGGCGAUUAGCUUAGUUGGUAAGGUAAUGGACUUACCAGCUACGACUCCGUAACCGCUGGAGAGGGCGGUCGGUACACACGUGACACUAGAACC